GCAUUAUUGCAAAAAGAUAGAACGACUUUUCCUAGUGUCCAAACAAAGGCAAAGAUAAAAAGGUGUGAGAAGCCGUUUCGUUGUUGGUCUACUGCUGAUAAGCCCCUCUCCACUUUGGCGGCGUGCAUUGAACUAAUUUGCUCGUUGUUGUUGUUGUUGUUGUUGUAGACUGGUUUCCUUGGUUGGUUUGUAUUUUUUGUAUUUUACUUUUACUCGUACAAGCUCUCUGUAUAUUUAUUUAAAGCGCAAAUGUUUUAGAUACGACACAAAUGUUGCUGCGAGAGAGAGAUAGAGCAGUGGCAGAGCGGGUAAAAAGAGAGCAGAGUAAACUACAACAACUUCAACAAAAAUUACAACAACGAGCAAAAGGCAAACUUGCCUAUCAGCCCCUUGCUUUUGUUGUUGUCGCUGUUGUUGUAGUAUUAUUCAGUGCGUGUGCUCAGCAUUUAACUAAACUGGCACACACGCACACCCAAACGGCACUCACCAACACUCAGCGACAUUCACCAACACUCAAAACACACGCAGCACGGCACAGCACGGCACACACCGAGUCAGUCAGGGCCCCGUCGGCGACAUGUGUGCUUAUAUAAUCGUCUAAUGGCUUUGUUUUUUUAAGAAACUGAAAUUACAAUUUCCGCUUGUCGCCCUGGCUCCGGCUCUCGCUCCCUUUCUCGCGCUGUGUUCCGCAGGCCCUGCCCGGCUGACGACGAUUCCAUUCCAUAAAAAUGUGCUAUAAAAAACUAACGGUUAAUGCUACGGUCUGCUGAAGUUCGUGUGUGGCUGGCUGGUGGAAAAAAAGAGUAACAACACAAAAACUAUUCCUCUGUCGUCCGUCGGCGCGGCGCGGUGCGGCGCUGUUUGGUGGCCGCUCAAUAGAAAGUUUGUGUUAAUAAAAAAUUGGAGGCACACACACUCGGAGAAAGACAGCAAAAAGCAGGAGGAGGAACAACAGAGAGAAAAAAUACCUAAAAAACUUAAACACACAAAAUAUGUAUGUCG